rnacentral:rRNA from 1 species
AGAGUUUGAUCAUGGCUCAGGACGAACGCUGGCGGCGUGCCUAACACAUGCAAGUCGAACGGGAUCCAUGCCAUGAAGUUUUCGGAUGGAUUGGUGUGGUGAGAGUGGCGAACGGGCGAGUAACGCGUGAGCAACCUACCUCGUACUGGGGGAUAACGUCGGGAAACCGGCGCUAAUACCGCAUAAGACUACGAUGUCGCAUGGCGUUGUAGUCAAAGCUCCGGCGGUACGAGACGGGCUCGCGUCCGAUUAGCUAGUUGGUAGGGUAACGGCCUACCAAGGCGACGAUCGGUAGCCGGACUGAGAGGUCGGCCGGCCGCAUUGGGACUGAGACACGGCCCAGACUCCUACGGGAGGCAGCAGUGGGGAAUAUUGCGCAAUGGGGGAAACCCUGACGCAGCGACGCCGCGUGAAGGAAGAAGGCCUUCGGGUUGUAAACUUCUUUGGCAGGGGACGAAGAAGGACGGUACCCUGAGAACAAGCCACGGCUAACUACGUGCCAGCAGCCGCGGUAAUACGUAGGUGGCGAGCGUUGUCCGGAAUUACUGGGCGUAAAGGGCGUGUAGGCGGGGGGACAAGUCAGAUGUGAAAUACCGCAGCUUAACUGCGGGG